rnacentral:rRNA from 1 species
CAUCAGUACCGGAGAUAACCCCNU